CAACCUAGGACUGAUAUUGACCUCUCAUUUAUCCACAAGAGCGUGAAAUGGGAGGAUCCCCCGGAUGACCAAAAUAAGGUUGUGGGGAAUAUGAAGGAUGAAACAGAGACACAUGAGACCAACAAGAACAGGACAGGAGGCAAGGCUAAACGUAAGUCCAGUGGCCGUGCCAAGAAGACUUCCGUGGAGGAGGACAGCAGCAUUGGUGCAGAGUCUUCUCAGACACCCGGGUGUGGUUUCCGGGAAAGGGGAUCUAUCAUUGAGCAGCUGGAGAAGGAGGCUCAGAGGACUCUUAU